UUCCAUGGCCAGGGGACUAGUGGGCAGGUCGGAGCUGUUCACUGCCAGUUCUGAUGCCAUCCUUUUGCUGUUCACAGUCCUCCACAAAGGUUGCAGAGGAGAGAUCAGGCUGGUGUGCCCUGGCACUGGGUGUCUGAAAUGUAUAACAAGACAAUAGGACCUGCAGGCUGAGGAAGAUUAGUGAAUAUUCUCUUUGUAUAAAAAAAACAAAAAUAUCAAAACAAAUAACUCCCCCAUCAUUUGUCCAAGUAAUUUGUCAUCAGAGGCUACUCAUGUGUGUCCUUGCUGAGGAAAACCUUAACAUGAUUAUGCUGUAAUGACACAUGGUCAUUAUUGGAUAUGGCACCAUUACUUGGAGCCAGGACAAAGAUGCAGAAAUGCCAAGCACUGGCAUCUAAAGCACAGCAGAGCAAAUAUUGGCAGGCUGCUUUAAUCCCAUGCCACACGUUAAUUAUUUACUUGGUUAUAUUUUAACACCUAAGGCAAUAUCUAAUCUGUUUGCAUGUCCAAAACAUGUAGAAUACUUAACCCCUUAUGUGCCAGCAGACUUGUAAUGCAUGUGAAUGUAUAAAUGAAUAAAUAAGAAAUAAGACUACAAA